UACGAAGGGGGCUAGCGUUGCUCGGAAUCACUGGGCGUAAAGCGCACGUAGGCGGACUCUUAAGUCGGUGGUGAAAUCCUGGAGCUCAACUCCAGAACUGCCUUCGAUACUGGGAGUCUCGAGUUCGGGAGAGGUGAGUGGAACUGCGAGUGUAGAGGUGAAAUUCGUAGAUAUUGGGAAGAACACCAGUGGCGAAGGCGGCUCACUGGCCCGUAACUGACGCUGAGGUGCGAAAGCGUGGGGAGCAAACAGG
rnacentral:rRNA from 1 species